AGAGUUUGAUCAUGGCUCAGAACGAACGCUGGCGGCGUGCUUAAUACAUGCAAGUCGAACGUGAAGCCCGGGCAACUGGGUGGAAAGUGGCGAACGGGUGAGUAACACGUAAGUAAUCUACCUCUAAGUUUGGGAUAACCCUGCCAACGCGGGGCUAAUACCGGAUGUGAUCACUGAAACGCAUGUUUUGGUGAUUAAAGGUGCAAACCGCUUGGAGAUGAGCUUGCGGCCCAUUGUGCUUGUUGGUGAGGUAACGGCUCACCAAGGCUGCGAUGGGUAGCCGGCCUGAGAGGGCGUACGGCCACAUUGGGACUGAGAUACGGCCCAGACUCCUACGGGAGGCAGCAGUAGGGAAUUUUGCACAAUGGACGAAAGUCUGAUGCAGCAACGCCGCGUGAAGGAUGAAGGUUCUCGGAUUGUAAACUUCUGUUGAGUGGGAAGAAAAGCCCGCAAGGGUAUGACGGUACCACUUGAGUAAGCACCGGCUAACUACGUGCCAGCAGCCGCGGUAAUACGUAGGGUGCAAGCGUUGUUCGGAAUUACUGGGCGUAAAGGGAGUGUAGGCGGGACCAUAAGUUAGGAGUUUAAUCCACCGGCUCAACCGGUGAUCGGCUUUUAAUACUGUGGUUCUUGAGUAUGGGAGAGGGUGAUGGAAUUCCAGGUGUAGCGGUGGAAUGCGUAGAUAUCUGGAAGAACACCAGUAGCGAAGGCGGUCGCCUGGCCCAAUACUGACGCUGAGGCUCGAAAGCUAGGGGAGCAAACAGGAUUAGAUACCCUGGUAGUCC
rnacentral:rRNA from 1 species